CCUACGGGAGGCAGCAGUGAGGAAUAUUGGUCAAUGGACGAGAGUCUGAACCAGCCAAGUAGCGUGAAGGAUGACUGCCCUAUGGGUUGUAAACUCUUUUUAUAUGGGAAUAAAAUGUUCCACGUGUGGGAUUUUGUAUGUACCAUAUGAAUAAGGAUCGGCUAACUCGGUGCCAGCAGCCGCGGUAAUACGGAGGAUCCGUGCGUUAUCCGGAUUUAUUGGGUUUAAAGGGAGCGUAGGUGGGUUGUUAAGUCAGUUGUGAAAGUUUGCGGCUCAACCGGAAAAUUGCAGUUGAAACUGGCAGUCUUGAGUACAGGAGAGGUGGGCGGAAUUCGUGGUGUAGCGGUGAAAUGCUUAGAUAUCACGAAGAACACCGAUUGCGAAGGCAGUUCACUGGACUGCAACUGACACUGAGGCUCGAAAGUGUGGGUAUCAAACAGGAUUAGAUACCCCUGUAGUC
rnacentral:rRNA from 1 species